UAGGGAAUCUUCGGCAAUGGGGGGAACCCUGACCGAGCAACGCCGCGUGAGUGAAGAAGGUUUUCGGAUCGUAAAGCUCUGUUGUUAAGGAAGAACGAGUGUGAGAAUGGAAAGUUCAUGCUGUGACGGUACUUAACCAGAAAGGGACGGCUAACUACGUGCCAGCAGCCGCGGUAAUACGUAGGUCCCGAGCGUUGUCCGGAUUUAUUGGGCGUAAAGCGAGCGCAGGCGGUUAGAAAAGUCUGAAGUGAAAGGCAGUGGCUCAACCAUUGUAGGCUUUGGAAACUGUUUAACUUGAGUGCAGAAGGGGAGAAUGGAAUUCCAUGUGUAGCGGUGAAAUGCGUAGAUAUAUGGAGGAACACCGGUGGCGAAAGCGGCUCUCUGGUCUGUAACUGACGCUGAGGCUCGAAAGCGUGGGGAGCGAACAGG
rnacentral:rRNA from 1 species